rnacentral:rRNA from 1 species
AGAGGGUGAAACUCCCGUCCGCCUGGUAGAAUGAGUCUUUGUCAACAAGUCGAGUUGUUUGGGAUUGCAGCUCUAAUUUUGUGGUAAAUUCCAUCUAAAGCUAAAUAUUGGUGGGAGACCGAUAGCGUACAAGUACCGUGAGGGAAAGACGCAAAGAACUUUGAAAAGAGAGUUAAAGAGUACCUGAAAUUGCUGAAACGGAGCGAAGGAACCAGUGUUGUGGUCCAUAUUUCCUUGGCCACUUGUGGUUUGGGCGCUGUGAGCUUGCGUGGGUUUGGGUUGGUUGAUCCCUUUGGAAGAGCGCAGUCAGAGUUGAUGUCU